AUCAACUUUCGAUGGUAGGAUAGAGGCCUACCAUGGUGGUAACGGGUAACGGGGUGUUAGGGCACGACACCGGAGAGGGAGCCUGAGAAACGGCUACCACAUCCAAGGAUGGCAGCAGGCGCGCAAAUUACCCAAUCCCGACACGGGGAGGUAGUGACAAUAAAUAACAAUACGGGGUUCUUUCGGAUCUCGUAAUUGGAAUGAGUACAAUUUAAAUCUCUUAACGAGGAACAAUUGGAGGGCAAGUCUGGUGCCAGCAGCCGCGGUAAUUCCAGCUCCAAUAGCGUAUAUUAAAGUUGUUGCAGUUAAAAAGCUCGUAGUUGAAUUUCGGGAUCAAUAUGUUGGUCGUGCCUUGGUACGUACUGGCGUCAUUGGUUUCUACCUUCUGAAGAACCUCGAUGUCAUUAAUUUGGUGUCUUGGGGAAUCAGGACUGUUACUUUGAAAAAAUUAGAGUGUUUAAAGCAGGCUCACGCUUGAAUACAUUAGCAUGGAAUAAUGAAAUAGGACGUUUGAUUCUAUUUUGUUGGUUUCUAGGAUCGACGUAAUGAUUAAUAGGGAUAGUUGGGGGCAUUAGUAUUCAAUUGUCAGGGGUGAAAUUCUUGGAUUUAUUGAAGACUAACUACUGCGAAAGCAUUUGCCAAGGAUGUUUUCAUUAAUCAAGAACGAAAGUUAGGGGAUCGAAGACGAUCAGAUACCGUCGUAGUCUCAACCAUAAACUAUGCCGACUAGGGAUCGGAUGAUGUUAAUUUUUUAAUGACUCAUUCGGCGCCUUACGGGAAACCAAAGUGUUUGGGUUC
rnacentral:rRNA from 1 species